rnacentral:rRNA from 1 species
GACGAACGCUGGCGGCGUGCUUAACACAUGCAAGUCGAACGGAAAGGCCAUGCUUUUGUGGGGUGCUCGAGUGGCGAACGGGUGAGUAACACGUGAGUAACCUGUCCUUGAAUUUGGGAUAACUUCAGGAAAAUGGGGCUAAUACCGGAUAGGAGCUCCUGAUGCAUGGUGGGGGAUGGAAAGUGUCGGCGGUUGUGGAUGGACUCGCGGCUUAUCAGCUUGUUGGUGGGGUAGUGGCUGACCAAGGCUUUGACGGGUAGCCGGCCUGAGAGGGUGACCGGCCACAUUGGGACUGAGAUACGGCCCAGACUCCUACGGGACGCAGCAGUGGGGAAUCUUGCACAAUGGCCGGACGCCUGAUGCAGCAACGCCGCGUGCGUGAUGACGGCCUUCGGGUGGUAAACCGCUUUCGCCUGUGACGAAGCGUGAUUGACGGUAAUGGGUAAAGAAGCACCGGCUAACUACGUG